GCAUAUUAGCUGAGUUGGUUAGAGCACGGUGCUAGUAACACCGAGGUUUGUGAGCUCAAUCUCCAUAUGGUUCA